UAGUCUGGUGCCAGCAGCCGCGGUAAUUCCAGCUCCAAUAGCGUAUAUUAAAGUUGUUGCGGUUAAAAAGCUCGUAGUUGGAUUUCUGUCGAAAACGGCCGGUCCGCACUAUGUGCGUGUAUCUGGUUCGGUUUUGGCAUCCUCAUGAAGAACGUAACUGCGCUUGAUUGCGUGGUGCGGUAUUCAUGACUUUUACUUUGAGGAAAUUAGAGUGUUCACGGCAGGCAAGCGCCUUGAAUAUAUUAGCAUGGAAUAAUAAUAUAGGACAUGGGUUCUAUUUUGUUGGUUUCUAGAACUUAUGUAAUGAUUAAUAGGGAUAAUUGGGGGCAUUCGUAUUAACGCGUCAGAGGUGGAAUUCUUGGAUUGCGUUACGACGAACUACUGCGAAAGCAUUUGCCAAGGAUGUUUUCAUUGAUCAAGAACGAAAGUAUGGGGAUCGAAGAUGAUUAGAUACCGUCGUAGUCUAUACCAUAAACUAUGCCGACUAGAGAUUGGAGGUCGUUCUUUUUAUGACUCCUUCAGCACCUUAUGAGAAAUCAAAGUCUUUGGGUUCCGGGGGGAGUAUGGUCGCAAGGCUGAAACUUAAAGGAAUUGACGGAAGGGCACCACCAGGAGUGGAGCCUGCGGCUUAAUUUGACUCAACACGGGGAAACUUACCAGGUCCAGACAUAGUAAGGAUUGACAGAUUGAUAGCUCUUUCUUGAUUCUAUGGGUGGUGGUGCAUGGCCGUUCUU
rnacentral:rRNA from 1 species